GGCUACAUCAUGUUGAAACACCAGUUCCCAUAAAAUCACCAAAGUUAAGCAAAAUCGAGCCUGGUCAGUACCUUAAUGGGUGAUCAUUUGGAAAUGCCAGGUGCC